rnacentral:rRNA from 1 species
UACGUAGGGUGCAAGCGUUGUCCGGAAUUAUUGGGCGUAAAGAGCUCGUAGGCGGUCUGUCACGUCGGAUGUGAAAACUCGGGGCUCAACCCCGAGCCUGCAUUCGAUACGGGCAGACUUGAGUUCGGCAGGGGAGACUGGAAUUCCUGGUGUAGCGGUGAAAUGCGCAGAUAUCAGGAGGAACACCGGUGGCGAAGGCGGUUCUCUGGGCAUGUCCUGACGCUGAGGAGCGAAAGUGUGGGGAGCGAACAGG